GACGAACGCUGGCGGCGUGCUUAACACAUGCAAGUCGUACGGUAAGGCCCUUUCGGGGGUCCUCGAGUGGCGAACGGGGGCGUAACACGUGCGUAACCUGCCCACAACUUUGGGAUAACGCUAGGUAACUGGUGCUAAUACUGGAUAUGUGCUACUGCUGCAUGGUGAGGGUUGGAAAGCUCCGGCGGUUGUGGAUGGGCUCGCGGCCUAUCAGCUUGUUGGUGGGGUAGUGGCCUACCAAGGCGGCGGCGGGUAGCCGGACUGCGAGGGUGACCGGCCACAUUGAGACUGAGAUACGGCCGAGACUCCGACGGGAGGCAGCAGGGGGGAAGAUUGAACAAUGGGCGCAAGCCUGAUGCAGAAGCGCCGCGGGCGGGAUGACGGCCUUCGGGUUGAAAACCGCUUGUAGCAGGGACGAAGCUUGUUGUGACGGUACCUGCAGAAGAAGCACCGGCUAACUACGUG
rnacentral:rRNA from 1 species